UCAGGCCUAACACAUGCAAGUCGUACGAGAGUUUUUAACUCUAGUGGCGGACGGGUGAGUAACACGUGAGAAUUUGCCUUUAGGAGGGGGACAACAAUUGGAAACGAAUGCUAAUACCCCAUAUGCUUUCGAGUGAAAUGGAUUUUAUCCGCCUAGAGAGAAGCUCGCGGCUGAUUAGCUUGUUGGUAAGGUAAGAGCUUACCAAGGCGACGAUCAGUAUCUGGUUUGAGAGGACGAUCAGACACACUGGAACUGAGACACGGUCCAGACUCCUACGGGAGGCAGCAGUGGGGAAUUU
rnacentral:rRNA from 1 species